rnacentral:rRNA from 1 species
UACCUGCAGCUCGAGUGGUAACCGCUAUUAUUGGGCCUAAAGCGUCCGUAGCCGGUUUGGUAAAUAUCUGGGUAAAUCGUGAGGCUUAACUUCACGAAUUUCGGAUAGUCUGCCAGACUUGGGAUCGGGGGAGGUCAGAGGUACUCCAGGGGUAGCGGUGAAAUGUUGUAAUCCUUGGAGGACCACCGGUAGCGAAGGCGUCUGACUAGAACGAGUCCGACGGUGAGGGACGAAGCCCUGGGGCGCAAACCGGAUUAGAUACCCGGGUAGUCCAGGGUGUAAACAAUGUGGGCUUUGUAUUGGAGGUUCCACGUGGGCGUCCAGUGCAGAAGAGAAGUUGUUAAGCCCACCGCCUGGGAAGUACGGUCGCAAGGCUGAAACUUAAAGGAAUUGGCGGGGAGCACAGCAACGGGAGGAGCGUGCGGUUU